rnacentral:tRNA from 2 species
AUCGGAAUAAUUCAGGGGUAGAAUAACAACCAAACCAUGCAGGUUCGAAUCCUGCUUCCAACC